rnacentral:rRNA from 1 species
CCUACGGGGGGCAGCAGUGGGGAAUCUUGCGCAAUGGGCGAAAGCCUGACGCAGCAACGCCGCGUGCGGGAUGAAGGCCUUCGGGUUGUAAACCGCUUUCAGCAGGGACGAAAUUGACGGUACCUGCAGAAGAAGCCCCGGCCAACUACGUGCCAGCAGCCGCGGUAACACGUAGGGGGCGAGCGUUGUCCGGAUUUAUUGGGCGUAAAGAGCUCGUAGGCGGCUCAGUAAGUCGGGUGUGAAACCUCCAGGCUCAACCUGGAGACGCCACCUGAUACUACUGUGGCUAGAGUCCGGUAGGGGAGCGUGGAACUCCUGGUGUAGCGGUGAAAUGCGCAGAUAUCAGGAAGAACACCAGCGGCGAAGGCGGCGCUCUGGGCCGGAACUGACGCUGAGGAGCGAAAGCGUGGGUAGCAAACAGGAUUAGAUACCCCUGUAGUC